GUGAGGAAUAUUGGUCAAUGGGCGGGAGCCUGAACCAGCCAAGUCGCGUGAAGGAAGAAGGAUCUAUGGUUCGUAAACUUCUUUUGCAGGGGAAUAAAGUGCAGGACGUGUCCUGUUUUGUAUGUACCCUGAGAAUAAGGAUCGGCUAACUCCGUGCCAGCAGCCGCGGUAAUACGGAGGAUCCGAGCGUUAUCCGGAUUUAUUGGGUUUAAAGGGUGCGUAGGUGGUUUGAUAAGUCAGCGGUGAAAGUUUGCAGCUUAACUGUAAAAUGCCGUUGAAACUGUCGGACUUGAGUGUAAAUGAGGUAGGCGGAAUGCGUGGUGUAGCGGUGAAAUGCAUAGAUAUCACGCAGAACUCCGAUUGCGAAGGCAGCUUACUAAGCUACAACUGACACUGAAGCACGAAAGCGUGGGGAUCAAACAGGAUUAGAUACCCUGGUAGUCC
rnacentral:rRNA from 1 species